rnacentral:lncRNA from 1 species
CAGUGGGUGGAUCAUAGAUGAGCUUCUGCGACGAACAGCCUCUACCAGCAAGAUCUCUACUCUGAACCUCUACUACAAGUAGUCUACUCCAAACUUCUACUACAAGCGAUCUACUCUGGAUCUCUACUGUAAGCGAAUUUUAUCCGAGCUUCUACUGUAAAUGAAUUCCUUCCGAACUCCUAUUACAGGCAGACUUCAGUCAAGCUUC